rnacentral:piRNA from 1 species
UUUAGUAGUAAAUUAAGAAUAGA